rnacentral:rRNA from 1 species
GUUAGAAAUGACUGCUAAUACCGCAUAAGCGCACAGGGCCGCAUGGACCUGGUGUGAAAAACUCCGGUGGUGUAAGAUGGACCCGCGUCUGAUUAGGUAGUUGGUGGGGUAACGGCCCACCAAGCCGACGAUCAGUAGCCGACCUGAGAGGGUGACCGGCCACAUUGGGACUGAGACACGGCCCAAACUCCUACGGGAGGCAGCAGUGGGGAAUAUUGGACAAUGGGCGAAAGCCUGAUCCAGCGACGCCGCGUGAGUGAAGAAGUAUUUCGGUAUGUAAAGCUCUAUCAGCAGGGAAGAAAAUGACGGUACCUGACUAAGAAGCCCCGGCUAACUACGUGCCAGCAGCCGCGGUAAUACGUAGGGGGCAAGCGUUAUCCGGAUUUACUGGGUGUAAAGGGAGCGUAGACGGUUAAGCAAGUCUGAAGUGAAAGCCCGGGGCUCAACCCCGGUACUGCUUUGGAAACUGUUUGACUUGAGUGCAGGAGAGGUAAGUGGAAUUCCUAGUGUAGCGGUGAAAUGCGUAGAUAUUAGGAGGAACACCAGUGGCGAAGGCGGCUUACUGGACUGUAACUGACGUUGAGGCUCGAAAGCGUGGGGAGCAAACAGGAUUAGAUACCCUGGUAGUCCACGCUGUAAACGAUGAAUACUAGGUGUCGG